rnacentral:lncRNA from 1 species
GAAGAUGUGAUGCAGAGAAGUUAAAGGACUUACCAAAGAGCACAGUUAGGAAAUUGAAUGAUCAAAAAUUCAAAUCCAGAUUAAUCUUAUUUCAAUGCCGAUAUUUUUGUUCUAUUUCUCUACAGUGCAUUCUUGGGAUUCGUCAGUUACUUACUAAUCGAUAAUUUAAUUGGAAUGCAUUAUAAACCAGAGUAUUCAGACUUUCUGAAACCAUGAAAAUUUCCUAAGAUGGGAAAAACAUCCACAGAAGAUUUGGAAGUCAAGCAGCAGCCUUGCUCUCUGAAGAUGGUGGUGGCAGAAGCAGUGACAGACAGCAACGACAGAUCCAUAAGACGGAAGCUGGGACCAUGGAAGGACCCAAGUUGUGGGGAGCAUGAGCCAUGAGGAAGAGUAGCCACUGUCAGAGAU